rnacentral:rRNA from 1 species
GUGACGACGAGGCACUACGGUGCUGAAGCAACAAAUGCCCUGCUUCCAGGAAAAGCCUCUAAGCAUCAGGUAACAUCAAAUCGUACCCCAAACCGACACAGGUGGUCAGGUAGAGAAUACCAAGGCGCUUGAGAGAACUCGGGUGAAGGAACUAGGCAAAAUGGUGCCGUAACUUCGGGAGAAGGCACGCUGACACGUAGGUGAAGUGAUUUACUCAUGGAGCUGAAGUCAGUCGAAGAUACCAGCUGGCUGCAACUGUUUAUUAAAAACACAGCACUGUGCAAACACGAAAGUGGACGUAUACGGUGUGACGCCUGCCCGGUGCCGGAAGGUUAAUUGAUGGGGUCAGCGCAAGCGAAGCUCCUGAUCGAAGCCCCGGUAAACGGCGGCCGUAACUAUAACGGUCCUAAGGUAGCGAAAUUCCUUGUCGGGUAAGUUCCGACCUGCACGAAUGGCGUAAUGAUGGCCAGGCUGUCUCCACCCGAGACUCAGUGAAAUUGAACUCGCUGUGAAGAUGCAGUGUACCCGCGGCAAGACGGAAAGACCCCGUGAACCUUUACUAUAGCUUGACACUGAACAUUGAGCCUUGAUGUGUAGGAUAGGUGGGAGGCUUUGAAGUGUGGACGCCAGUCUGCAUGGAGCCGACCUUGAAAUACCACCCUUUAAUGUUUGAUGUUCUAACGUGGACCCGUAAUCCGGGUUGCGGACAGUGUCUGGUGGGUAGUUUGACUGGGGCGGUCUCCUCCUAAAGAGUAACGGAGGAGCACGAAGGUUGGCUAAUCCUGGUCGGACAUCAGGAGGUUAGUGCAAUGGCAUAAGCCAGCUUGACUGCGAGCGUGACGGCGCGAGCAGGUGCGAAAGCAGGUCAUAGUGAUCCGGUGGUUCUGAAUGGAAGGGCCAUCGCUCAACGGAUAAAAGGUACUCCGGGGAUAACAGGCUGAUACCGCCCAAGAGUUCAUAUCGACGGCGGUGUUUGGCACCUCGAUGUCGGCUCAUCACAUCCUGGGGCUGAAGUAGGUCCCAAGGGUAUGGCUGUUCGCCAUUUAAAGUGGUACGCGAGCUGGGUUUAGAACGUCGUGAGACAGUUCGGUCCCUAUCUGCCGUGGGCGCUGGAGAACUGAGGGGGGCUGCUCCUAGUACGAGAGGACCGGAGUGGACGCAUCACUGGUGUUCGGGUUGUCAUGCCAAUGGCACUGCCCGGUAGCUAAAUGCGGAAGAGAUAAGUGCUGAAAGCAUCUAAGCACGAAACUUGCCCCGAGAUGAGUUCUCCCUGAGACUUAGAGUCUCCUGAAGGAACGUUGAAGACGACGACGUUGAUAGGCCGGGUGUGUAAGCGCAGCGAUGCGUUGAGCUAACCGGUACUAAUGAACCGUGAGGCUUAACCUUACAA